UACGUAGGGUGCGAGCGUUGUCCGGAAUUACUGGGCGUAAAGGGCUCGUAGGCUGCCAACUAAGUCAGACGUGAAAUCCCUCGGCUUAACCGGGGAACUGCGUCUGAUACUGGAUGGCUUGAGAUUGGGAGAGGGAUGCGGAAUUCCAGGUGUAGCGGUGAAAUGCGUAGAUAUCCGGAGGAACACCAGCGGCGAAGGCGGCUUUCUGGUCCGAUACUGACGCUGAGGUGCGAAAGCGUGGGGAGCGAUCCGG
rnacentral:rRNA from 1 species